UUCCCCUAGUAGCGGCGAGCGAAGCGGGAAGAGCUCAAAUUUAUAAUCUGGCACUUUCGGUGUCCGAGUUGUAAUCUCUAGAAAUGUUUUCCGCGUUGGACCGCACACAAGUCUGUUGGAAUACAGCGGCAUAGUGGUGAGACCCCCGUAUAUGGUGCGGACGCCCAGCGCUUUGUGAUACAUUUUCGAAGAGUCGAGUUGUUUGGGAAUGCAGCUCAAAUUGGGUGGUAAAUUCCAUCUAAAGCUAAAUAUUGGCGAGAGACCGAUAGCGAACAAGUACCGUGAGGGAAAGAUGAAAAGCACUUUGGAAAGAGAGUUAACAGUACGUGAAAUUGUUGGAAGGGAAACGCUUGAAGUCAGACUUGCUUGCCGAGCAAUCGGUUUGCAGGCCAGCAUCAGUUUUCCGGGAUGGAUAAUGGUAGAGAGAAGGUAGCAGUUUCGGCUGUGUUAUAGCUCUCUGCUGGAUACAUCUUGGGGGACUGAGGAACGCAGUGUGCCUUUUGGCGGGGGUUUCGACCUCUUCACACUUAGGAUGCUGGUGGAAUGGCUUUAAACGACCCGUCUUGAAACACGGACCAAGGAGUCUAACAUGCUUGCGAGUAUUUGGGUGUCAAACCCGGAUGCGUAAUGAAAGUGAAUGGAGGUGGGAACCGCAAGGUGCACCAUCGACCGAUCUGGAUUUUUAAUGAUGGAUUUGAGUAAGAGCACGUAUGUUGGGACCCGAAAGAUGGUGAACUAUGCCUGAAUAGGGCGAAGCCAGAGGAAACUCUGGUGGAGGCUCGUAGCGGUUCUGACGUGCAAAUCGAUCGUCAAAUUUGGGUAUAGGGGCGAAAGA
rnacentral:rRNA from 1 species